rnacentral:rRNA from 1 species
GACGAACGCUGGCGGCGUGCUUAACACAUGCAAGUCGAACGAUGAACCCGGAGCUUGCUCCGGCGGAUUAGUGGCGAACGGGUGAGUAACACGUGAGUAACCUGCCCUUGACUCUGGGAUAACUGCUAGAAAUGGUAGCUAAUACCGGAUACGACCCUCGGUGGCAUCACCAGGGGGUGGAAAGAAUUUCGGUCAAGGAUGGACUCGCGGCCUAUCAGCUAGUUGGUGAGGUAACGGCUCACCAAGGCGACGACGGGUAGCCGGCCUGAGAGGGUAACCGGCCACACUGGGACUGAGACACGGCCCAGACUCCUACGGGAGGCAGCAGUGGGGAAUAUUGCACAAUGGGCGCAAGCCUGAUGCAGCAACGCCGCGUGAGGGAUGACGGCCUUCGGGUUGUAAACCUCUUUUAGUAGGGAAGAAGCGGAAGUGACGGUACCUGCAGAAAAAGCACCGGCUAACUACGUGCCAGCCGCCGCCGUAA